rnacentral:rRNA from 1 species
UACAGAGGGGGCAAGCGUUGUCCGGAAUUACUGGCGUACAGCGCGCGCAGGCGGUUGCCGACGUGCCGUGUGACAAACGGGGCUCACCCCCGAGGGCCACGGUAAACGGGGCGACUGGAGGAAGGGGAGAGGGAUGUGGAAUGCCCGGUGGAGCGGUGAAAUGCGUAGAGAGUCGGGAGCGGAACACCAGCGGCGAAGGCGGCAUCCUGGCCCUUACCUGACGCUGAGGCGCGAGAGCGUGGGGAGCAAACCGG